CCUACGGGAGGCAGCAGUGGGGAAUAUUGGACAAUGGGCGCAAGCCUGAUCCAGCAAUGUCGCGUGAGUGAUGAAGGCCUUAGGGUCGUAAAGCUCUUUUACCAGGGAUGAUAAUGACAGUACCUGGAGAAUAAGCUCCGGCUAACUCCGUGCCAGCAGCCGCGGUAAUACGGAGGGAGCUAGCGUUGUUCGGAAUUACUGGGCGUAAAGCGUACGUAGGCGGUUAUUCAAGUCAGAGGUGAAAGCCCGGGGCUCAACCCCGGAACGGCCUUUGAAACUAGGUAGCUAGAAUCUUGGAGAGGUCAGUGGAAUUCCGAGUGUAGAGGUGAAAUUCGUAGAUAUUCGGAAGAACACCAGUGGCGAAGGCGACUGACUGGACAAGUAUUGACGCUGAGGUACGAAAGCGUGGGGAGCAAACAGGAUUAGAUACCCUGGUAGUCCACGCCGUAAACGAUGAUAACUAGCUGUUCGGGCACUUGGUGCUUGAGUGGCGCAGCUAACGCAUUAAGCUAUCCGCCUGGGGAGUACGGUCGCAAGAUUAAAACUUAAAUGAAUUGACGG
rnacentral:rRNA from 1 species